GAUUAACGCUAGCGGCAGGCAUAAUACAUGCAAGUUGAACGGGAUAAGUUGUAGCAAUACGACCUUGAGAGUGGCGCACGGGUGCGUAACACGUAUGCAAUCUGCCCCUAUCUGUGGAAUAGCCCCUCGAAAGAGGGAUUAAUACCACAUAAUAUAAUUGAGUGGCAUCACUUGAUUAUCAAACGUCAGGGUUGAAGAUGGGCAUGCGUCCGAUUAGUUUGUUGGUGAGGUAACGGCUCACCAAGACUACGAUCGGUAGGGGAUCUGAGAGGAUGGCCCCCCACACUGGUACUGAGACACGGACCAGACUCCUACGGGAGGCAGCAGUAAGGAAUAUUGGUCAAUGGACGGAAGUCUGAACCAGCCAUGCCGCGUGCAGGAAGACGGUCCUCUGGAUUGUAAACUGCUUUUGUUAGGGAAGAAACUUCCGUACGUGUACGGGACCGACGGUACCUAAAGAAUAAGGAUCGGCUAACUCCGUGCCAGCAGCCGCCGUAAAAC
rnacentral:rRNA from 1 species